rnacentral:rRNA from 1 species
GACGAACGCUGGCGGCGUGCUUAACACAUGCAAGUCGAACGGAAAGGCCUGCUUUCCCUUGUGGAUUGCGGGUACUCGAGUGGCGAACGGGUGAGCAACACGUGAGUGAUCUGCCCCCAACUUGGGUAUAAGCCUGGGAAACUGGGUCUAAUUCCCGAUAGGACUGCAGGGUGGUGCCUGUGGUGGAAAACGAUUUUCUAGUGGUUGGGGAUGAGCUCGCGGCCUAUCAGCUUGUUGGUGGGGUAAUGGCCUACCAAGGCGGCGACGGGUAGCCGGCCUGAGAGGGUGGACGGCCACAUUGGGACUGAGAUACGGCCCAGACUCCUACGGGAGGCAGCAGUGGGGAAUAUUGCACAAUGGGCGGAAGCCUGAUGCAGCGACGCCGCGUGGGGGAUGACGGCCUUCGGGUUGUAAACUCCUUUCGACCGCGAGGAAGCCACCUGGUUGGAAGGGUGGUGACGGUAGUGGUAGAAGAAGCACCGGCUAACUACGUG